GCCAGAGGGUGCGAACGUUGUUCGGAAUUACUGGGCGUAAAGCGUGCGCAGGCGGUUCGUUAAGUCAGCUGUGAAAGCCCCGGGCUCAACCUGGGAAUUGCGGUUGAAACUGGCGAACUAGAAUCUGGCAGAGGGGGGUGGAAUUCCACGUGUAGCAGUGAAAUGCGUAGAGAUGUGGAGGAACACCGAUGGCGAAGGCAGCCCCCUGGGCUGAGAUUGACGCUCAGGCACGAAAGCGUGGGGAGCAAACAGG
rnacentral:rRNA from 1 species